UCUCUAUCAGUGUAACUAUGACUAUAAAGCUUCAUCGGAGUUUAUCCAUGGCUGAUCACAGUUUUCAUCAUUUAGAGA
rnacentral:snoRNA from 1 species